rnacentral:rRNA from 1 species
UACGUAGGUGCGAGCGUUGUCCGGAAUUAUUGGGCGUAAAGAGCUUGUAGGCGGUUUGUCGCGUCUGCCGUGAAAAUUCGAGGCUCAACCUCGAACUUGCGGUGGGUACGGGCAGACUAGAGUGUGGUAGGGGAGACUGGAAUUCCUGGUGUAGCGGUGAAAUGCGCAGAUAUCAGGAGGAACACCGAUGGCGAAAGGCAGGUCUCUGGGCCACUACUGACGCUGAGAAGCGAAAGCAUGGGGAGCGAACAG